AAUCGGACAAUGUACAAGAUUUUGAGGCUAAUUGGUUAAUCUAUAUGCUGUUAAAGCCCUUAUUCACCUUUAUGUGUCAUUGAAUCCUUGUUUCCUUUCCAUCCCUAUAGAUUUAUUAGUAGAAAAGUCCUAUUUCUCUGGCCUCGCUUUCACCUGUUCUAUUGGAAAUCUACCAAGACUUCCUAUACUUAAAUUGUCUCCUAUUCCAACUUACCUUGGAAAGCCUUCCAUUGGUGCUGAUGGCCAAAGAAGCUGUUGUAUUCUGCGACCUUCUAAGGACACCACGAUGGCACUUACUGUGAUCUAUCAACAUUUUCUCAAGACUAUAGCUAAGAGAAAAAGUGAUUUUCCCAGGAAAUGAAUGCAGAGUCAAAUCAGAACUGGCGUGCUCACUCCUGGACCAACCAUCUCUCCUGAUACCAUGCCAUACUAACAAGCUAGUGUUAUUUACCUGGAUUCCUCAAAGAAGCCAAAUAUAUGUAAGAUGAGUUAAAAGCCAAACUAUAUUGCCUACUACAAUAUGUUACAGUAAUGCCAUAUGAGCCUUAAUGUUAAUAAAAAGAGUGAGAUUGCAAGG